rnacentral:rRNA from 1 species
CUCGUAGGCGGUUCGUCGCGUCCGGUGUGAAAGUCCAUCGCUUAACGGUGGAUCCGCGCCGGGUACGGGCGGGCUUGAGUGCGGUAGGGGAGACUGGAAUUCCCGGUGUAACGGUGGAAUGUGUAGAUAUCGGGAAGAACACCAAUGGCGAAGGCAAGUCUCUGGGCCGUCACUGACGCUGAGGAGCGAAAGCGUGGGGAGCGAACA